UAAAAAAAAAUAAUGUAAUUUUUCUAGAGUAACUUCUUCAGGGUCACCCCUUGUUGAGAAAUAGUAUGUCUGUAUCAUGUCUUUAAUUUUACAUUUAUAUUCACUUUGAACGAGCAUGACAACCCAAAUAGCUAAUGUCUCUGUGCAUAAUCUAUUGCUAACUUUAAUAUUUAUUGUUUGCAUGAAUAGGCUAGGAGUGAAAAACCAAGCCACAAGAUCAGCAUCCUCUAUAUACAUGUGAAGUUGAGAAUAUUGAAUAUGGCCUAAUUUUCAUUGUCAAUUUUGUGCAUAUUUCACCUAAAAAAUGGCAUGUAAUCCACAGGAGUCUUUGGAAUGCAAACAGAGGGAAAGAAUGUAUGCUACAGUUUUCUUCCUGAAAAUAAAAGUUCAAUUUAUCCUUGCCAUUUCAAGUUACAGAAAAAUAUUCAUUUGGAGGACUGCAGGAAGAACUGUUUGUAAAUGAGGGUGUAUACACUAUAAAAAAUGACAAAAAAAA